UACGGAGGGGGCGAGCGUUGUCCGAAGUUACUGGGCGUAAAGGGCGCGUAGGCGGGAAGCUAAGUCCGCUGUCAAAGCCCGGGGCUUAACCCCGGAAGGUCGGUGGAGACUGGUUUUCUUGAAGCUGCCAGGGGGAGAUGGAAUUACCGGUGUAGCGGUGAAAUGCGUAGAUAUCGGUAGGAACACCAGUGGCGAAGGCGGCUAUCUGGCCUAAUAUUGACGCUGAGAUGCGAAAGUGCGGGGAUCAAACAGG
rnacentral:rRNA from 1 species